UGUAUGUAAUGUAUGUGAGGUAGGUUCAUGUGUUUCCAUAUGAACCGUAUGAUGCUAAUGUUUAUGUGGUAUGUUAUGCUUUCAGAAGUCGAGAUGAGAGGAACUCGUCGAUCCGUAAGAUUGACUGGAGCUCCGCCAGAGAAUGAGGGCAUGGAUGCCCAUCCCCCUGCUCUGCAGAGGGCAAGAUCUUGUAGAACAAGCAGAGAAGGUACAUCAAG
rnacentral:lncRNA from 1 species